ensembl:lncRNA
CCUGCGGGAGACCAUCCUCAGGGGCCUGAGGGGCCUGUGAUUGACAGCCACAAAGACAUAAGUACGCAGCAGGGAUCACUUUACAGUGAACACAGUCGGAGCAAAAUAGAUUUAGAAAAUAAAACCACUCUCAUUCACAGGCAGGUCGCUCUAGCUAAAUAAAACAGAUUCAAAUUAAACCCACCUACUGCAAACAAUGAUAAUAACUCAGCAUUGCUCGGUUUUCAGAGUAUCUCAUUAGGGGAAUGUGACUACAGACCUUAGUUACCACUAACUCUUUGUUAUGUGUUUGUGCAUUCAUUCAUUUAUGCAACAUAUUUAUUGAGGGCUUUCUGAGUGCUAGGUAUUGUAGGAGCUGGUGAUACUGUAGUGAGCAAAAUGCUCUUGUGGAGUUUAGAUUCUAGUCGGGGGAGACAGAAAUAAAUAAACAUCUACUGUAAAGUCAAGUGUGACAACUGUUAGAAAGAAAAUAAAGAAGGGCGAAAGGAUAGAGAAUGAGGAGGCAGUGGGAGGGAGUAGCUAUUUUCGAGAGGUGAGCUCAUCAUUGGAGUCAUGAAUCCACUGGCUCUUUAAACCAGGCCUGGCAGCCCUGGCCCUGACAAGCUCCGUAACUCACCCAGCAAGAAUCUGACAUUUCAUCUCAUGCUGGGCUCGACAAAGCUCCAAGUUGUGAACAAGCCAUUUUGCAAUUCCUAGAACAAGUGCCACCUAGUGGUUGUAAACAGCCUUGGAGGUUAAAUGCCCAUAACUGAAGACAAACUAUUACCCAUGCGGUGUUGGGGACCAGGGCUGUGGUUUGAGAACUGAUUGAUUGAAUGUUGUUUGAGACAGCCCACAUUCAUUCAUUGAUCGUUAUGGUCUAGGCACUAUGCUAGGCUGGAUACAGAUGGCUGAGACAGGAGGAAAAAGGAGCUGAAAGGAUGAGGGGAGAAAAUCACCCUCAAAUUGUAAUCUUGUGUAAUUUUCACCACCUGUAGUUCCAGGGGCUGCCACACGCCCCUGACUUGGACCAUCCGCUGAUCCUAUAUUCUAUUCUAGGACUGAAGGAUAACUUUGAGGUACAGUUCGGAGUUUUCUGUCUUUCCCCUACACAGCACAAAAGGUAGAAAUACAAACCUACCUCAAAUCUGAGAUUUGGUGCUGGCUUUGCCUUGUUAUACACAUUUUGUGGCUAAAAAACAAUUAAUAGUUGCUGAACAGGAAAUGGAACCGAUGCCCCAGGGAGGACAGACACAGCAAUGUGUGGCUGACGUGACCAUGGCCAGCAGAAGACUGUGGCGGUAAAGACUGUGAGCUCACGGUGAGUCCUGGCCGGGCCUGCUGUGCUCAGAACUCUGCAGCCUUGUGGGUAACUCACUGUGCGUGACCACAAACUGGCCAUCGACACAUGGUGCCAACGCAGCCGCGUGCAUAUGAUGCCUGGCCAUCAUAGAAAACUGUGGAAAUAGAGCAAAAUGCUAAUGGUGGUAAAGCAAGAAUAGGUGCCCGGAACCCUAUGUUAGAUCCAGGUGACUUGGCUUGAGGAAGGCAGCUUCCAGCAGCCACAUCAGGUACCAAAGCUGGAGUUGUGGGUGAUGUGGGUGCAACUAUAAGAGGCUUGGUAAACCCUUACUCAGGGCUUCCAAUGAGGAACUGAGAUGACUCAAGCAGCAUCACUUACCCAAUAUCCCCCUUCUCUAUUCCUAAUGUACUUUUCUAAGAAUGCAUUCUCUCUGUUUAUCUUAGUGAAGGAUUUCUCUGAGAUUUAUGUUUCAUAGUGCUCAUUUUCUCCAAGACUUCCAUUAUGUCCUCUGCAGUAUCUGGAUUUGUAUCCUAGAACUGCCACUAAAUAGCUGUGUGACCUGGCACAAGUUAAUUAACCUCUCUGUGCCUCAGUUUCCUCUUCUAAUAAGAUAAUGAUAGUAUCUACUGGAUAGGGUUGUUGUGAGAAUCAAAUGAGUUCACAUGUCGAAAAAUCGUGGAACACUGCCUGGCAUGUAGCAAAGCCUCAAUAAAUGUUAACCA